rnacentral:lncRNA from 1 species
AUGCUGGGAAGCUCACCUACAUAGACACAAAAUACGUGGUACAUGUGAAGAGUUAGAGACAGAAGAAGAGCAACAGUAUCUCACCUCAAGCUAUAUUAACAUCUCCACUGAUUCAUUACAAGGUGGCAAGAAGUACUUGUCACAUCAAAAGCAUUCCAACAUGACACAUGGAAUUCUGGGCUAACAGUUGCUUCCAUCUCUACAGGGCACCUUACUUCUGCAACAGAGGAGACAUUGGACUUUUAUUGGGAAUGAUCGUCUUUGCUGUUAUGUUGUCAAUUCUUUCUUUGAUUGGGAUAUUUAACAGAUCAUUCCGAACUGGAUUAAAAGAAGGAUCUUAUUGUUAAUACCAAAGUGGCUUUAUGAAGAUAUUCCUAAUAUGAAAAACAGCAAUGUUGUGAAAAUGCUACAGAAAAUAGUGAACUUAUGAAUAAUAAUUCCAGUGAGCAGGUCCUAUAUGUUGAUCCCAUGAUUACAGAGAUAAAAGAAAUCUUCAUCCCAGAACACAAGC